rnacentral:misc_RNA from 1 species
GAUGAAGAACGUAGCGAAAUGCGAUAAGUAGUGUGAAUUGCAGAAUUCAGUGAAUCAUCGAAUCUUUGAACGCACAUUGCGCCCCUUGGUAUUCCGGGGGGCAUGCCUGUUCGAGCGUCAUUUCACCACUCAAGCCUCGCUUGGUAUUGGGCAACGCGGUCCGCCGCGUGCCUCAAAUCGACCGGCUGGGUCUUCUGUCCCCUAAGCGUUGUGGAAACUAUUCGCUAAAGGGUGUUCGGGAGGCUACGCCGUAAAACAACCCCAUUUCUAAGGUUGACCUCGGAUCAGGUAGGGAUACCCGCUGAACUUAAGCAUAUCAAUAAGCGGAGGA